ACUCCGCCGCAGGAGGGGUCCUGGAUCUGGCACGGGGCUCAGCUGGGUAGGGACGUUGGGGUCGCGGCCCUCGGGAUGGGGGUGGUGCAUUCGGGAUGUCAGUAACCUGCGCAGUUUGGGCUCCGCCCCAAACAGGGGGCGUCUUCCAGUGUCCCCAGACUUUGAUGAGAGUGGGGAAGGGGCCUCCAGGGGGUCCCUGCAGGAAGGGAGCGCCGAGGCAGCGGCCGGCCCAGCAAGCAUCAUCAGAUACCUGUGGCUCUCAGGCCCUCCCUGCUGUCCCUGCCCCCUUCAGAGAAUGAUCUAGAAGGAUUGGAAUCUCAGUCUUUGGGAGCUGUUCUACUUUCAUUUCUGUUGCCAUGACGAAACACCCUAAGGUUCCUGCCUUGAUUUCCCUAGAUGACGGACUGUAACCUCUGAGCCAAGUAAACCUUUCC